GGGAGGCUGAGGCAGGAUAAUCGUUUGAACCCAGGAGGCAGAGGUUACAGUGAGCCGAGAUUGUGCUACUGCACUCCAGCCUAGCUGAUAGAGCAAGACUCUGUCUCAAAA